rnacentral:rRNA from 1 species
GAGUUUGAUUAUGGCUCAGGACAAACGCUGGCGGCGUGCAUAACACAUGCAAGUCGAACGAAAUCUACAUGAUUUAGUGGCGAACGGGUGAGUAACACGUGAGAAACCUGCCUUACACAGAGGGAUAGCCGUUGGAAACGACGAUUAAUACCUCAUGACACCGUGACAUCGCAUGAUGAUGCGGUCAAAGAUUUAUCGGUGUAAGAUGGUCUCGCGCCUGAUUAGCUGGUUGGUGGGGUAACGGCCUACCAAGGCGACGAUCAGUAGCCGAUCUGAGAGGGUGGACGGCCACAUUGGGACUGAGACACGGCCCAAACUCCUACGGGAGGCAGCAGUGGGGAAUUUUGCACAAUGGGGGAAACCCUGAUGCAGCGACGCCGCGUGAACGAAGAAGGCCUUCGGGUUGUAAAGUUCUGUCCCUUGGUGAAGAUAAUGACCGUACCCAGNAGANGCC